GAACUCAAGAGCUGUUCGAUCUCUCCAGUAACGUCUCAACCUUUCAUUAAUCCAUUCUUAGCUCUGCCUUUUUGCGUGAUUAGCCCACUCUCUCCGACUGAGAAGCAUUCAAUCGACCCGUUCGCAUCCCACCGUAACCGGCCGAAGCUUCAAAUAUAAUAAAUAUCUCGACUUUCCGGUUUAUAUCGUCUUUUAUUUUCGUGACCUUUCCGAUUCUCCAUCCAUCGUUCUCAGGGAUCGAUCCAAACCGGAAAACAAUGUAAGAUUGCUAUUUCGAGAAAAGACUGUAUCUCUUAUCCCAUGGCCAUGGCCAAGGCCAAAUCACUCCUCUAAUGCCGACAGAGUUAGAAGCAUAUUAGUCUAAACCAUAAAGGUAACAGAAAAUUCAUAUUCGCUUUUGUCUAAAGUUUCUAACGUGAUCAACCCGAAUUUCAGUUAUAAAAAUUGAUUUUGGAGGUGUGCGUCAACCUAACCGUAGCAGUGAGCCGACAAGAACCUCAAAUGCUCUUGCUCUCCCAGGUAUUCUCAUGGAUGUGAAGUUCCUUCAACGUGCAAAUAUUACUGGAAGAAAGUCUCGGCUAAUCUUAUGUCUGCAAUCCUUUUGAACGCAACACAGCUCUUUCCGGCGGCGUUCAAACCGAGUUUAGCUCUUGAGUUUGAUUGGGUUCAUUGCUUGGAUUUAAUUUCUAUAGUUUUAAAUUGGAUGAUUUGUGAUUAUUAUGAUUUGUGAUUAACCAGCUCCAGUUAUAGGGGAAAUUGUGAAAGUAAUGCAUUGAUUUAGUACUGUUUUCUGCUAUAUAUAUACAUAAUCUUUGUUUCAAGGACAAUGAUACACGUGGUGAAGAUCUUGAGCCUGCUGGUGGUAGACUCUACUUAUUGGAUUGCUCUUUUGUAUGUUGCAAUAUUAUUACUCUGCGAACUCAUACAUGGUCGAGCAUGCUGAUUUGUCUUAUGUUUGCCUUUUAUUGUUCUCGACCAGCUAAUAUCGUCUAGAUGUAACAACUUUUGGUUUGCACCAGAUACCGAUAUGCUUUGUAGUGUCACUUGGAUGCUAUGAACACCAUAAGAUGUGAAAGUCUUAGUGUAUUUGAUGGGUGAGCCAUACUAGAUGCAAAAUUGACCACAUAUGGUGAUGUACCAAAGGUUGUAGUAGUUACAAACAACUACCCUAAGUUGGUAGGAGGUAAUAAGCAUGUAACAUGUAAAUCACAGGUGUAGACAUGUUAAUUGUUUCAAUUUAAUUUAUUUCCAGGUCGGCUCUUUCUCAAUGAAACAUCUGGCAUUCAUCUAUUUUGAUCAUUAGUGUACUGCCAGCAAAAGUUAUCUUAAAAAGUCGGUGAUAUCGCCAAUAACUUUUGUUUUAAUUACAAUCUUAUCAUGCCCUGAUUCCUUUCGAACCCUGUUGCUACUUGCUAUAUAGGGUAUGUGACAUUAACGAAGGAUCAAACUCUAACACAACCAAAUAUGGAGGUCCUAAAAGCACUACAUCUUAUUUCACAUGUUUUUGUGUUUUCAGGUUUACUGGAUGACACUUUUCCACCAUAGCGUGUUUUUGUGUUUUCUGGUUUGACAAUUUUCCACCAGAUGGAUGUUACAUUCUCAUUUCAAUAAAUAAUUAUU